ACUAAGGUCUGUAAUUUCCACCCUACCCAGACAAUGUGUAAACUAACUAAUGCUUAUCUUGACUUCUGUGAACCACUUAUGUAACAAUCGAAAUGUCCAAAGACCCUCACCCCCACCCAGGAGGUGGUUUAUGGGCAUAAAAGAUCUUGACACCCUCCUUUCAGGGCCGCGGGUUAGAGAGAGGUGAGUCCUCCAUGGCCACCGGCAAUAAAAACCCUAUAAUUUGGCCUA